UACGAAGGGGGCUAGCGUUGUUCGGAAUUACUGGGCGUAAAGCGCACGUAGGCGGAUUGUUAAGUCAGGGGUGAAAUCCUGGAGCUCAACUCCAGAACUGCCUUUGAUACUGGGAAGCUCGAGUCCGGGAGAGGUGAGUGGAACUCCGAGUGUAGAGGUGAAAUUCGUAGAUAUUCGGAAGAACACCAGUGGCGAAGGCGGCUCACUGGCCCGGUACUGACGCUGAGGUGCGAAAGCGUGGGGAGCAAACAGG
rnacentral:rRNA from 1 species